AGAGUUUGAUUCUGGCUCAGAACGAACGCUGGCGGCGUGGAUAAGACAUGCAAGUCGAACGGAGAAACUACUUAGCUUGCUUUGGAGUUUCUUAGUGGCGAACGGGUGAGUAACACGUGAGUAACCUGCCCUUGACUUUGGGAUAACUUCAGGAAACUGGGGCUAAUACCGGAUAGGAGCUCCUGCUGCAUGGUGGGGGUUGGAAAGUUUCGGCGGUUGGGGAUGGACUCGCGGCUUAUCAGCUUGUUGGUGGGGUAGUGGCUUACCAAGGCUUUGACGGGUAGCCGGCCUGAGAGGGUGACCGGCCACAUUGGGACUGAGAUACGGCCCAGACUCCUACGGGAGGCAGCAGUGGGGAAUAUUGCACAAUGGGCGGAAGCCUGAUGCAGCAACGCCGCGUGCGGGAUGACGGCCUUCGGGUUGUAAACCGCUUUCGCCUGUGACGAAGCGUGAGUGACGGUAAUGGGUAAAGAAGCACCGGCUAACUACGUGCCAGCAGCCGCGGUGAUACGUAGGGUGCGAGCGUUGUCCGGAUUUAUUGGGCGUAAAGGGCUCGUAGGUGGUUGAUCGCGUCGGAAGUGUAAUCUUGGGGCUUAACCCUGAGCGUGCUUUUGAUACGGGUUGACUUGAGGAAGGUAGGGGAGAAUGGAAUUCCUGGUGGAGCGGUGGAAUGCGCAGAUAUCAGGAGGAACACCGGUGGCGAAGGCGGUUCUCUGGGCCUUUCCUGACGCUGAGGAGCGAAAGCGUGGGGAGCGAACAGGCUUAGAUACCCUGGUAGUCCACGCUGUAAACGGUGGGUACUAGGUGUGGGGUCCAUUCCACGGGUUCCGUGCCGUAGCUAACGCUUUAAGUACCCCGCCUGGGGAGUACGGCCGCAAGGCUAAAACUCAAAGGAAUUGACGGGGCCCCGCACAAGCGGCGGAGCAUGCGGAUUAAUUCGAUGCAACGCGAAGAACCUUACCAAGGCUUGACAUGGGCCGGCUGCUCCUGGAGACGGGGGCUCCCCUCUUUUUUGGGGCUGGUUCACAGGUGGUGCAUGGUUGUCGUCAGCUCGUGUCGUGAGAUGUUGGGUUAAGUCCCGCAACGAGCGCAACCC
rnacentral:rRNA from 1 species